GGUGAUUACAUCAAUAAUUAUAAAUUUCAAUGGUACCCACAAUUACUCCAACUGCCAGACUAUCUUCAACUCCCUUCUUAGCAUGGAUCUCUAAUAGAUUCAAGUGGAAUUCCCUGCAUAUCAGGAAGAAAGCCCGAACCGAUGACUACUGAGUUCACAAACAUAGAAGGAGUGCAUGAAAUGCAAAAUGUUCCCCAAAAAGACCAAUGGAUUUCAAAUAUCUGCAAGCCAAGUCGGCCACAUAAUAUGAAGAAAAAGGAAAUGAAGUCUGUUAAUCCCCCAAGACAGACAUUUAUUAUACAAAAGCUAAGUGACAGCUUUGAACCAUGGCCUCACCUUCUGCAGAGGAGGUUUAUGUCACAAGAACUGCAGGAGUCACGGGUCUGCUUGUUGAUAGGGGAGUUGCAGCAGCUUCUUGAAAGGAGAAUGACCCCAGCCAAAUGUCAUCUCCACAAAUACAAGCCAAAGUUCCAGUUGCUGAAGUGGCUAUUGAUUAAAGAAUCAUGA
rnacentral:lncRNA from 1 species